rnacentral:rRNA from 1 species
AUUGAACGCUGGCGGCAUGCCUUACACAUGCAAGUCGAACGGUAACGGGCCUUCGGGUGCCGACGAGUGGCGAACGGGUGAGUAAUACAUCGGAACGUGCCCGAUCGUGGGGGAUAACGAGGCGAAAGCUUUGCUAAUACCGCAUACGAUCUAUGGAUGAAAGCAGGGGACCGCAAGGCCUUGCGCGGACGGAGCGGCCGAUGGCAGAUUAGGUAGUUGGUGGGAUAAAGGCUUACCAAGCCGACGAUCUGUAGCUGGUCUGAGAGGAUGAUCAGCCACACUGGGACUGAGACACGGCCCAGACUCCUACGGGAGGCAGCAGUGGGGAAUUUUGGACAAUGGGCGCAAGCCUGAUCCAGCCAUGCCGCGUGCAGGAUGAAGGCCUUCGGGUUGUAAACUGCUUUUGUACGGAACGAAAAGCCUUCGUUUAAUACAGGAGGGUCAUGACGGUACCGUAAGAAUAAGCACCGGCUAACUACGUG